rnacentral:sRNA from 22 species
GAAGCGGGAAGCCGGCACCGGCGCAUGGCCGGGUAAGACCGGCACCGCCGAUCCGCAAGAAUCGGCUACC